rnacentral:rRNA from 1 species
GACGAAUGCUGGCGGCGUGCUUAACACAUGCAAGUCGAACGGAGUGGCGAACGGGUGAGUAACACGUGGGUGACCUGCCCUGCACUUCGGGAUAAGCCUGGGAAACUGGGUCUAAUACCGGAUAGUGUGGGAUGGGCCCGCGGCCUAUCAGCUUGUUGGUGGGGUAAUGGCCUACCAAGGCGGCGACGGAUAGCCGGCCUGAGAGGGUGGACGGCCAAAAUGGUACUGUGACACGGCCCAGAAUGGUACGGGAGGCAGCAGUGGGGAAGAUGGCACAUUGGGCGGAAGCCUGAUGCAGCGACGCCGCGUGGGGGAUGACGGCCUGCCGGUUGUGAACGCCUUACGCAAUCGACGCGGUGGAUGGAGAAGAAGCACCGGCUGACUACGUGCCAGCAGCCGCGGUAAUAC